UACACCCCGGUGUCGAAACGCUAACUUCUUGUAUGCAUCAAACCUAAAGCAUCAAAAACUCUCUUUGAGCAAACUAAAGCCCUUGUUGGCGCCGUUAUCUCAACUUCGCAUCGCAGCCAUGUUGCAGUCUCAGCAACCCGAUAAGAAGCCGGAGACUGAAGGAGACCUUGAACGCAAGAAGAAGAAAGAAGAAAAAGCGAGGGAGAAGGAACUGAAGAAACUCAAGGCUAUAGAAAAAGCAGAGUUGGCCAAACUUAAGGCACAACAAGGAUCGAAUGCUCCGAAAAAGAGUGCAAAGAAAAAUGCCAAGCGAGAAGCGGAUGAGGAGAAUCCACAGGAUUUUGUGGAUCCAGAUACUCCUUUGGGUGAGAAAAAGAGACUCUCUUCUCAGAUGGCCAAACAAUACAGUCCAUCUGCUGUGGAGAAGUCAUGGUAUGCGUGGUGGGAGAAAUCAGGGUUUUUUCAGGCUGAUGCAAGCAGCUCAAAAUCACCUUUUGUGAUUGUUCUUCCUCCUCCAAAUGUGACUGGGGCCCUGCACAUUGGCCAUGCCCUCACUAGUGCCAUACAGGACACAAUGAUUCGCUGGAGAAGAAUGUCUGGAUAUAAUGCAUUGUGGGUACCCGGUGUGGACCAUGCUGGGAUAGCUACACAGGUGGUUGUGGAGAAAAAGCUAAUGCGUGAAAGAUGCUUAACGAGGCAUGAUGUUGGUCGUGAAGAAUUUGUAAAUGAAGUUUGGAAGUGGAAGACUGAGAAUGGUGUUACCAUUCUGAGACAGCUAAGGUGUAUGGGUGCCUCCCUUGAUUGGUCUCGUGAGUGCUUUACGAUGGACGAGAAGAGGUCGAAGGCUGUGACGGAAGCUUUUUGUCGUCUUUAUAAGGAGGGUCUUAUUUAUAGGGAUCUAAGGUUAGUGAAUUGGGAUUGUGUCUUGCGAACUGCUAUCUCUGAUAUUGAGGUAGAUUAUACAGACAUCAAAGAAAGGACUUUGUUAAAGGUCCCUGGUUACGGAAAGCCAGUGGAGUUUGGUGUAUUGACAUCAUUUGCUUACCCUUUGGAGGGAGAGCUGGGUGAAAUUGUUGUUGCCACUACAAGAGUGGAAACAAUGCUUGGUGAUACAGCUAUAGCUAUUCAUCCGGAUGACAAGAGGUACAGUCAUCUGCAUGGGAAAUUUGCAGUUCAUCCUUUCAAUGGGAGAAAACUCCCAAUAAUCUGUGAUGCAAUUCUAGUUGAUCCGAGUUUUGGAACUGGUGCAGUUAAGAUAACUCCAGCUCAUGAUCCAAAUGAUUUUGAGGUUGGGAAGCGCCAUAACCUUGAAUUUAUUAACAUUUUUACUGAUGAUGGGAAAAUAAAUAGCAAUGGUGGACCAGAAUUUGCUGGAAUGCCACGGUUUAAGGCUCGUGAGGCUGUGAUUGAAGCAUUGCAGAAGAAGAAAUUGUAUAGAGGAGCUCAAAAUAAUGAGAUGCGACUUGGCCUGUGUUCAAGAAGUAAUGAUGUUGUGGAGCCGAUGAUAAAGGCCCAGUGGUAUGUUAAUUGCAGUAGCAUGGCAAAGCAGGCUCUUGAUGCAGCCAUGGAUGAUGAAAACAGGAAGCUUGAGUUCAUUCCAAAGCAGUAUACUGCUGAAUGGAAAAGAUGGCUUGAGAACAUACGUGAUUGGUGUAUUUCAAGGCAGCUUUGGUGGGGUCACCGUAUUCCUGCAUGGUAUGUGACACUGGAAGAUGAUGAAAUGAAGGAACUUGGUGCAUAUAAUGAUCACUGGAUGGUUGCUAGAGAUGAGGAACAGGCUCUAGCAGAAGCUAAGAAGAAAUUUCCUGGGAAGAAAUUUGAGAUGUUGCGAGAUCCUGAUGUACUUGACACUUGGUUUUCUUCUGGUCUUUUCCCAUUAUCUGUGUUGGGAUGGCCAGAUGAUACAGAUGAUCUAAAAGCAUUUUAUCCAACUUCAGUCCUUGAAACUGGGCAUGACAUUCUUUUUUUUUGGGUUGCUCGAAUGGUUAUGUUGGGAAUUAUGUUGGGAGGUGACAUACCAUUCAGGAAGGUUUACUUACAUCCUAUGAUCCGAGAUGCACAUGGGCGUAAGAUGUCAAAGUCUUUGGGAAAUGUAAUAGAUCCUCUUGAAGUAAUAAAUGGAAUAUCACUUGAAGGUCUUCACAAAAGGCUGGAGGAGGGUAACUUGGAUCCUAAUGAGCUGGUCACUGCCAAAGCAGGGCAGGUGAAAGAUUUUCCCAAUGGUAUUGCUGAAUGUGGUGCAGAUGCUCUCCGGUUUGCUCUUGUUUCUUACACUGCUCAGUCUGAUAAAAUAAAUUUGGAUAUCCAAAGAGUGGUUGGCUAUCGACAAUGGUGUAACAAAUUAUGGAAUGCUGUUCGUUUUGCUAUGAGCAAACUUCCAGAUGACUAUACUCCUCCACCAACCAUAAAUCUGGGGACGAUGCCUUUCAGUUGUCGUUGGAUACUCUCAGUGUUGAACAAGGCUAUAUCAAAAACUGUUAUGUCAUUAAAUGCAUAUGAAUUCUCAGAUGCUGCGACCAGUGUGUAUUCAUGGUGGCAGUAUCAAUUCUGCGACAUUUUCAUUGAAGCAAUCAAGCCUUACUUUGCUGGUGAUAAUCCAGCCUUUUCCUCUGAAAGGAAUUCUGCACAAGAUGCUCUUUGGGUUUGUCUGGAAAGUGGCCUGCGAUUACUUCAUCCAUUGAUGCCAUUUGUUACUGAAGAACUGUGGCAACGUCUUCCAGGAGUAAAGAGCCACACAAGGAAGGAAUCUAUAAUGAUAUGUGAAUACCCAUCACCAAUAGAGAGUUGGACAAAUGAAAGGGUGGAAUAUGAAAUGGAUCUAGUGGAGUCCACUGUAAGGUCUUUUAGGUCACUUAGAGCAGAGCUGCUUGCUAAGCAGAAGAAUGAAAGGUUACCUGCCUUUGCAUUCUGUCAAAAUGAGGAAGUGGCAGAAAUCAUUAGAUCUUGUGAAUUAGAGAUCUUAACCCUUGCCACGUUAUCAUCAUUAAAGGUUCUACUGAGUGGUGUAGAUGAGGCUCCAGCUGGAUGUGCAUUUGAGAAUGUCAAUGAAAACCUUAAAGUUUAUCUUAAGGUUCACGGAGCUCUAAAUGCAGAAGCAGAACGUGAGAAGAUCAGGAAUAAGAUGGAUGAAAUACUGAAGCAGCAGGAGAAGUUGAGGAAGAUAAUGAAUGCAUCUGGGUAUCAAGAAAAGGUUCCAGCUCAUAUCCAAGAAGAGAAUGCUACAAAGCUGGCAAAACUUCUCCAAGAAUUUGAAUUUUUCAAAAAAGAAAGUGGGCGAAUGGAAUCUGACGCAGAGCAGCAAAAAACGAGUCAUUCACCUUACUUCCAUCAGAGAAGAUCUUCGUUAUGUCUUUGAUAAUGGUGACCUUUGAUCGGCGUUUAUCUACCUUCCACCAAAUGGCAGAGGUGUCAAAAAGAAGAAUUUUAGUAAAAGAAGGAGAGCAAUUUCAAGGUGUAGACUUUCACUACCCAUAUUUUGGCACUUUUGGUCAUUAUAUGUGAAGAGCCUGAAAUUUGGAAUUGUUCCUUUUGAUCCAAAAAUUCAAAAAACUUUUUCGUAGACUUUGAAAGAAAAAUAAAAAAAUUUCUGCUUCAAGUAAAAUAAUAGCUGAUCAACAAGAGGAAGAGAUUAAGCCUUUGAGGGAUUAUACAGUCCCUCAAGUAUAAAAUCUCCACUCUAGUAUCCGAAAACUUCCUAUUCAAGCAAUAAUUUUGAAAUUAAGCCUUCAAUCAUUCAGAUGAUUCAGACUACUGAUCAGUUUGGGCGUUUGCCCAAUAAUGAUCCGAAUGCUCAUAUUGUAAAUUUUUUGAAAAUCUGCUAUAUAUUCAAGGCUAAUGGUGUUACUGAUGAUGCCAUAA